rnacentral:lncRNA from 1 species
CCUCCUCCUCCGUUCUCCUCCUCUCCUUUCGCAUCUGCUCCGCCGCCAGGUGUUGUUCCACCUCAAUCCGGUGGACCAGAGGCGGUUGGCUUUAGACCACCUGCAAGGCCUUUCACACCUUCUGGUCCUCCUAUGGCUCCACCAGCGGGUGUGAUGAGGCCUGGCCAACCUCCUUUGGUUUCUCAGCUUCCAGGGAGUAGACCUCCACCGCCAUCAGCUUAUGGUCCUCCCGGUGGUGGUGGUUCUUUUCAGCGGUUUCCAACCCCUCCUCCUAGUGGUGUACCACCACCACCUCAAACUCUUGCAGGUCACUUAUCGCCUCCCAUGUCUUUUCGCCCACAGCAACCAAUGGCUCCUGUUACAAUGGGACCUCCUCCACAGAGUAUGACUUCUGGAAUACCUGGAGGGUUUGCUUCUCCCUCUGGUCCUGGUUUUCAACAGUCCAUGCCUGGUGGUCCACAGCCAUCUUAUCCUGGUUAUCCCAGUAAUCAGGUCUUACGGGGUCCCCCAAAGCCGUUCCAGUCUCCAUCUCAGGGUCCUCCGUCUGCAGUCUCAUCGUAUCCUCCUCAGACAGGAGGUUUUGCUCAGCACCCAGGACAGCAGAACAUGCAUCCAAGCUAUGCUCCUCCUCCUACCAGUAACGUUCAAGGCUUGGUUGAAGAUUUCAAUUCGCUGUCCCUUUCAAAUAUUCCGGGGUCGCUUGAGCCAGGACUUGAUCAUACCUCGUUCCCAAGGCCAUUGGAUGGUGACGUGGAGCCGAGUUCGUUUGCUGAAGCGUACCCUAUGAAUUGCCAUUCUAGAUAUCUGCGGCUGACAACUAAUGCGAUUCCAAAUUCACAGUCUCUGGCGUCGAGGUGGCAUUUGCCUCUAGGAGCUGUUGUUUGUCCACUUGCUGAGGCUCCUGAAGGGGUUAGUAUUUGCCAAACUAAUAAUCAAGUCUUUUAAAUUCUUUCAUGUUUUGAUAAUCUGGAACUAUUCACCUACUAUAUAUGAGCAUAUAACUUUUCCCUUAUUUUGAAAAUUGUCGUUUUAUCUGUUCAGGAGGAAGUGCCAUUAAUUGAUUUUGGUUCAAGUGGCAUCAUCCGCUGCAGAAGAUGCCGUACCUAUGUGAAUCCUUAUGUUACUUUCACAGAUUCUGGAAGAAAGUGGCGGUGUAAUAUUUGUUCUAUGCUUAAUGAGGGUAAUUUUUCCGAAUCUCCAGGAUUAGUGUUGUUAACCAAUGUGAUAUAGAACGUUGUUGUUGAUUGAAUAUGCCUUGUCUAAUGGUCGUGCAGUUUCUUUCUCUCUGAUUUUUCUUAAUCGUUAGUUUUUCCCAGUUGUCUUUGUCUAAUCUGUCCUAGUAGAAUUAUCGUAAAUGGAUUUGGUGAAAGCUACAAGGAACUGUUUUUGGUGUUAUGUAUGCUUUUUUCUGUUGUUGUGGAAUGUCAUCCCUGUCAAUAUACCUGUACAUCUGAUAUGAACUUCUCCCAGUCACUGGAAUGUCCUUUCCAUAAACUAUUUGAGAGAUGGCUUUACGUCAGUACAUGCAGGCAUAUGUUUAUAAGAUGAAUAUUCAUGGUUAUGGGUCUAAUGUUUUGUUCAGUGCCUGGUGAAUACUUCUCACAUUUGGAUGCUACUGGCCGAAGAAUGGACUUGGAUCAAAGGCUUGAGCUGACAAAGGGCAGUGUUGAAAUUAUUGCUCCAACAGAAUACAUGGUUCGGCCUCCGAUGCCACCAAUUUACUUCUUCCUCAUUGAUGUAUCAUUUUCUGCUACUAAAAGUGGGAUGCUCGAGGUAAGCAUGUUGGAUUUUAAUAUUCCACCUUGUAAUUUGUUGUGCAAUACCUUAGUUAGUAAGAACCAAUCCAUGUCUGCUUUUAUCUGAAUACACUACGUAUCGAUGGAUCUUGACUAGAUUAGACAUGCUGUCCCCUGUAGAGGCAUGCUGUGAAACUUUGAUCUUAUGCUGACCCUUUUUUCUCCUUUGGCAGGUUGCUACUCAAACGAUUAAGUCUUGUUUAGAUAACCUUCCUGGUUAUCCCAGAACUCAAAUUGGAUUUAUUACUUACGACAGCACUUUACAUUUUUAUAACAUGAAGGUAACAUAAUUGUAAAUUCAGUGGAUUUUUUUGUUCUGAAAUACUCUAGCCUUAAUCGCGUAUUUUUAUUGGACCUGGGUAAUGCAGUCAUCUUUGAGUCAGCCGCAAAUGAUGGUCGUUUCUGAUUUAGAUGAUAUAUUUGUCCCAUUACCGGAUGAUCUCCUUGUCAAUCUGUCUGAGUCUAGAAAUGUAGUGGAAGCCUUUUUGGACAGUCUGCCUCUGAUGUUUCAAAAUAAUGUCAAUGUGGAAUCGGCUUUUGGUCCAGCCCUCAAAGCGGCGUACAUGGUUAUGGUUAGUUACUGUGCUGCCAUGUCAAAUGAAAAUCAAAUAAUUCAUUUGAUGUGAGAGUCCUAUAUGGAAGCUCAUCUGGAAUUUGUAUCAGUUUGUAGUUGACUCUGUUUUCUCUUUCUAUUUCAGAACCAACUUGGUGGCAAGUUGCUAAUUUUCCAGAACUCGUUACCUUCUCUUGGUGUUGGGCGGUUAAAGUUGCGCGGAGAUGAUCCUCGUGUCUAUGGAACUGACAAAGAAUAUACUUUAAGAGUAGCUGAAGACACCUUCUAUAAGCAAAUGGCUGCCGAUUCGUCUGCUUCGGCGCAGAUGAUUUCUCCUCUGCUUCUUCUUCUGAAUCAUCAUCAUUUUCGUCGUCUUCCUCGUCUGCUUCUGCAGCUUCCUGCGCCGCGACGGCUUCUCUCGCAGACAUCUGCCUUUCGUCCUCGAACUUAACCACCGGAUGACGGAGGAUCCUAUCGUCUUCGCCGUCACCGUGAUCUCUGACGGAAUCGUGGCGUGAGAACUGCGGCUUGAAGCUCCUCGACGGGGGUCCGUCUCCAGGGAUGCUUACGUCGGGGAGAUCGUCCGGGUUUUUACUCGACCCGACCCGCAUUGAAGAUCCGCGCGUGAACAUCCCGCGUCCUGAAGAGCCAGGUGGAUCCGACAUUGGGGAUUGCGUAGAAUAAACAGACGGAGUUUGAACGGAACGCUGCUCCGAGGUGUUUGGGAUUGGGGAUAAGGAUAUCCGAGGCGAGGAUAUGCAGACGAGGUCCAAGCAGAACCGGUUCGUUCAAUAACAACGGUCGAUAAAGGAGAAUACAGGUUAGCUCUUUCUACAAACUAUAAUGGAAAUGUACCUCUUGCAUCGAAUUAGAGAGUGUUGAAUAACGUUUUAGCUAUGGAUUGCUUAGACUGAAAAUUCUAAAAUUUUGAUCAUUUGUUAGUUUUUGUGUUUCUUUUGGUAAUUUGUUUAUCUUUUCUUUUAAAUUUUCUAUUAACUUUUUUCGUUUUUUUGUUCUUGCCUCCUUAAUUUGGAAGAAAUUUUUGUGGCUAUAAGUGUUUUUAAAAUGCAGAACCAGGGGUAUGGAGGAACGAGUCUUAAGGUGGAAGAAAAUGAUCUAAAUUAAGGAUGGUUCCACAAUUUUGUGACAAGAGCUAUCCACUUUCCUUAUUUAUUGAUGAUCAAUCUUUUUUUAUUACAAGGCUGACAAAUUACCAGGUUAGUGAAUUUUUGCAUGAAGAGACAAAAUGUACAUGGAUCUACUGAAAUGCUUUUUCUAUGAGACUUCCAACCUUUCAUCAUGAAAAUUUAACUAACAAAAAAAUUAACUAAUGUUAGCCUUUUAUAAAGGAGUCUUGGCCAUUUUACAUUAAAUUUAUCUAAUCAUGGUUCUGACGUGAUAAAAGAUAAUAUUCAUGCUUUAUCACCAACAAAUUGACAGUGGUUUGUUUUCCUAUCAAGUGAGUAAUCUACGAAUGAAUAGGUAGUAGUGACAAAGUUUUGUUUUCUUGAGAUAUAUUUGUAAUAGUAUAUUUGCAAUUACGAAAAUCAAAAGAGUCAAUAUGUCCGAGUGGUUAAGGAGACAGACUUGAAAUCUGUUGGGCUUCGCCCGCGCAGGUUCGAACCCUGCUGUUGACGAUAUUUUUGAAAUUUGUUUUUUAUUCAAUACAAACCAUAGUUGUAAACGACAAAACUAGCCUAAUCUUUUUGCAAUGAUAAGCCCAAUUCUUGGCCCAUUAUCAAUACCACAUCGUCUCCUUCGCCGCGCAAUGUUACGUGUCAAAUCUUCUUAGAGGUCACGAUCUGAAUCCGAUCGCUGCUGUAGAAUCAGUUUCGUGCUCCGCAGAUUCUCGAGCUUCCUCUCUCUCUGUCUCUCACUUGAGGUAGGUUAGGUAGUCUUCGCUCUGUAACCAUUUAUCAAAAUUGAUCUCAGUUUAGAAUUCUUUAAGCUCAUAUUCAACGGUGAUUGAUCCAGAUCUUCCCGAGCUCCAGAAGAAGGGAUCGGAGAGAAAGAGAGUUUCUACGUUUCUCGAUCUGAAUCAUAGUAAAAGAUCUCUUCUUGAGAAAGAGACGAAACGUCUUUUGCAGAAGUUGCCAGUUUUGAAUUUGAAGUUAAAACUACCGAUUCUUUGAUGAGGUCUAGGUAGAAUCUAGGAUUGUAAUUGAUCUGCUCCCUUUGCUUUGAGUGUUUACCUAUACCUUCAUCCAACAGUUAAGCAAUAAUGAAUACGGAGAAUCGGAAUUUUCCAGCUAGGCCUCCUCCUCCUCCGUUCUCCUCCUCUCCUUUCGCAUCUGCUCCGCCGCCAGGUGUUGUUCCACCUCAAUCCGGUGGACCAGAGGCGGUUGGCUUUAGACCACCUGCAAGGCCUUUCACACCUUCUGGUCCUCCUAUGGCUCCACCAGCGGGUGUGAUGAGGCCUGGCCAACCUCCUUUGGUUUCUCAGCUUCCAGGGAGUAGACCUCCACCGCCAUCAGCUUAUGGUCCUCCCGGUGGUGGUGGUUCUUUUCAGCGGUUUCCAACCCCUCCUCCUAGUGGUGUACCACCACCACCUCAAACUCUUGCAGGUCACUUAUCGCCUCCCAUGUCUUUUCGCCCAC